rnacentral:rRNA from 1 species
UACGUAGGGUGCAAGCGUUGUCCGGAAUUAUUGGGCGUAAAGAGCUCGUAGGCGGUUUGUCGCGUCGAAUGUGAAAUCCCGGGGCUCAACCCCGGGUCUGCAUUCGAUACGGGCAGACUAGAGUUCGGUAGGGGAGUCUGGAAUUCCUGGUGUAGCGGUGAAAUGCGCAGAUAUCUGGAGGAAUACCGGUGGCGAAGGCGGCAUCCUGGACCGGCAUUGACGCUGAGGAGCGAAAGCUAGGGGAGCAAACGGG